GGCGGAUGUAGCCAAGUGGAUCAAGGCAGUGGAUUGAAUCAC
rnacentral:tRNA from 1 species